UCCUGGCUCAGGAUGAACGCUGGCGGCGUGCCUAACACAUGCAAGUCGAACGGAAUUUACAUGAAGCCUAGCGAUUGUAAAUUAGUGGCGGACGGGUGAGUAACGCGUGGGUAACCUGCCUUGUACUGGGGGACAACAGUUGGAAACGACUGCUAAUACCGCAUAAGCGCACAGCUUCGCAUGAAGCAGUGUGAAAAACUCUGGUGGUACAAGAUGGACCCGCGUCUGAUUAGCUAGUUGGCAGGGCAACGGCCUACCAAGGCGACGAUCAGUAGCCGACCUGAGAGGGUGACCGGCCACAUUGGGACUGAGACACGGCCCAGACUCCUACGGGAGGCAGCAGUGGGGAAUAUUGCACAAUGGAGGAAACUCUGAUGCAGCGACGCCGCGUGAGUGAAGAAGUAAUUCGUUAUGUAAAGCUCUAUCAGCAGGGAAGAUAGUGACGGUACCUGACUAAGAAGCUCCGGCUAAAUACGUG
rnacentral:rRNA from 1 species